UACAGAGGGUGCGAGCGUUAAUCGGAAUUACUGGGCGUAAAGCGUGCGCAGGCGGUUCGCCAAGUCAGGUGUGAAAUCCCCGGGCUUAACCUGGGAAUUGCGCUUGAAACUAGCGGGCUUGAGUGUGGCAGAGGGGGGUGGAAUUCCACGUGUAGCAGUGAAAUGCGUAGAGAUGUGGAGGAACACCGAUGGCGAAGGCAGCCCCGUGGGUCAACACUGACGCUCAUGCACGAAAGCGUGGGGAGCAAACAGG
rnacentral:rRNA from 1 species